rnacentral:rRNA from 1 species
UGAGGAAUAUUGGACAAUGGAGGAAACUCUGAUCCAGCCAUGCCGCGUGAGUGAAGAAGGCCUUCGGGUUGUAAAGCUCUUUUACCCCUGACGAUAAUGACGGUAAGGGGAGAAAAAGCCACGGCUAACUUCGUGCCAGCAGCCGCGGUAAUACGAAGGUGGCAAGCGUUGUUCGGAUUUACUGGGCGUAAAGAGUGCGUAGGCGGUUUGAUAAGUCAGAAGUGAAAGCCCAGGGCUCAACCUUGGAAUUGCUUUUGAAACUGUCUUACUUGAAUCCGGUAGAGGUUGGCGGAAUUCCCAGUGUAGAGGUGAAAUUCGCAGAUAUUGGGAGGAACACCAGUGGCGUAAGCGGCCAACUGGACCGGAAUUGACGCUGAGGCACGAA